CUUUUGCUGGCGACCGGCGCACGGGUGAGUAACACAUAUCCAACCUGCCCUUUACUCGGGGAUAGCCUUUCGAAAGAAAGAUUAAUACCCGAUAGCAUAAUGAUUCCGCAUGGUUUCAUUAUUAAAGGAUUCCGGUAAAGGAUGGGGAUGCGUUCCAUUAGGUUGUUGGUGAGGUAACGGCCCACCAAGCCUUCGAUGGAUAGGGGUUCUGAGAGGAAGGUCCCCCACAUUGGAACUGAGACACGGUCCAA
rnacentral:rRNA from 1 species